UACGUAGGGUGCGAGCGUUAAUCGGAAUUACUGGGCGUAAAGCGUGCGCAGGCGGUUUUGUAAGCCAGAUGUGAAAUCCCCGGGCUUAACCUGGGAACUGCAUUUGGGACUGCAUCGCUGGAGUGCGGCAGAGGGGGCUGGAAUUCCGCGUGUAGCAGUGAAAUGCGUAGAUAUGCGGAGGAACACCGAUGGCGAAGGCAAUCCCCUGGGCCUGCACUGACGCUCAUGCACGAAAGCGUGGGGAGCAAACAGG
rnacentral:rRNA from 1 species